UAAAGUAAGAAAGAGCGUAUGGCGGAUGCCUAGGCACAGAGAGGCGAAGAAGGACGCAGCAAACAGCGAAAUGCGACGGUUAGCAGUAAGCAUGCAACGAUCCGUCGAUGUCCGAAUGGGGGAACCCACCUGGAGUAGAGACCAGGUAUCCUGAAGUGAAUAAAUAGCUUCAGAGAGGCGAGACUCAGGGAACUGAAACAUCUAAGUACCUGAAGGAAGAGAAAAUAAACGAAUGAUUCCCUAAGUAGCGGCGAGCGAAAGGGGAAGAGCCCAAACCGAUCUUAGGAUCGGGGUUGUAGGACUGUCGGCAAAGAGCAAGAAAUCAUUAUAGGCGAACGGAAUGGGAAGUCCGGCGAAACAGGGUGACAGCCCCGUAGCCGAAAUAGUGAAGAAGCACGAGACAGCACCUGAGUACGGCGGGACACGAGGAAUCCUGUCGGAAUCCACCAGGACCAUCUGGUAAGGCUAAAUACUCCUCUGUGACCGAUAGUGAACCAGUACCGUGAGGGAAAGGUGAAAAGAACCCCGGGAGGGGAGUGAAAUAGAACCUGAAACCAUAUGCUUACAAGAAGUUAGAGCCCGUUAAAGGGUGAUAGCGUGCCUUUUGUAGAAUGAACCGGCGAGUUACGAUAUGGAGCGAGGUUAAGCAGGAUAUGCGGAGCCGAAGCGAAAGCGAGUCUUAAUAGGGCGAAAGUUGCAUGUCGUAGACCCGAAACCGAGUGAUCUAGCCAUGACCAGGUUGAAGUUGGGGUAAAACCCGAUGGAGGACCGAACCGACCCCCGUUGAAACGUUGGCGGAUGAGUUGUGGCUAGGGGUGAAAUUCCAAUCGAACUCGGAGAUAGCUGGUUCUCCCCGAAAUAGCUUUAGGGCUAGCGUCGAGGUAAAGUCGUGUGAAGGUAGAGCACUGAAUAUGUGAUGGCCCCAUCUCGGGGUACUGAACAUAAUCAAACUCCGAAUGUCACAAAGAUAUACUCGGCAGUCAGACAGUGGGUGAUAAGGUCCAUUGUCAAAAGGGAAACAGCCCAGACCAUCAGCUAAGGUCCCAAAAUAUAUACUAAGUGGAAAAGGAUGUGGAGAUGUCCAGACAACUAGGAGGUUGGCUCAGAAGCAGCCAUCCUUUAAAGAGUGCGUAACAGCUCACUAGUCGAAUGACUCUGCGCCGAUAAUUUACCGGGGCUAAGUAUAUUACCGAAGCUAUGGAUUUACGCGUAAGCGUGAGUGGUAGGGGAGCGUUCUAUGUGCGGAGAAGCGGUACCGUAAGGAGCCGUGGAGCGCAUAGAAGAGAGAAUGCCGGUGUGAGUAGCGAAACGUGGGUGAGAAUCCCACGCACCGAAAACCCAAGGUUUCCAGAGGAAGGUUCGUCCGCUCUGGGUAAGUCGGGACCUAAGGCGAGGCCGAGAGGCGUAGUCGAUGGACAACAGGUAGAGAUUCCUGUACUUACGGUAUGAAUGAUGGAGUGACGGAGAAGGCUAGCGGAUCCUGCUGAUGGAAAUGCAGGUGCAAGCGAGGUAGCCGACAGCCAGGCAAAUCCGGCUGUCGAAAGGCAAAGGCGUGAGGCGUAUGGAAAGCUGCGGCAAGUACAGAAGUCCGUGAAGCCAGCUUCCAAGAAAAGCUUCUAGUGAUAAUCAUACAGUAACCCGUACCGAAAAUGGACACACAUGGGUGAGGAGAGAAUCCUAAGGUGAGCGAGAGAACUAUAGCUAAGGAACUCUGCAAAAUGACUCCGUAACUUAGGGAUAAGGAGUGCUCAUAGAGAUAUGAGCCGCAGUGAAACGGCCCAAGCGACUGUUUACCAAAAACACAGCUCUAUGCUAAGUCGAAAGACGACGUAUAUGGGGUGACGCCUGCCCGGUGCUGGAAGGUUAAGAGGAUGUGUCAGCGCAAGCGAAGCAUUGAAUUGAAGCCCCAGUAAACGGCGGCCGUAACUAUAACGGUCCUAAGGUAGCGAAAUUCCUUGUCAGGUAAGUUCUGACCCG
rnacentral:rRNA from 1 species